UACAGAGGGUGCAAGCGUUAAUCGGAAUUACUGGGCGUAAAGCGUGCGUAGACGGUCAUGUAAGUCGGGUGUGAAAGCCCCGGGCUCAACCUGGGAAUUGCAUUCGAGACUGCAUGGCUAGGAUGCGGAAGAGGGAAGCGGAAUUUCCGGUGUAGCGGUGAAAUGCGUAGAUAUCGGAAGGAACACCAGUGGCGAAAGCGGCUUCCUGGUCCAGCAUCGA
rnacentral:rRNA from 1 species